rnacentral:rRNA from 2 species
UGGGGAAUAUUGCGCAAUGGGCGGAAGCCUGACGCAGCGACGCCGCGUGGGGGAUGACGGCCUUCGGGUUGUAAACCUCUUUCAGCAGGGACGAAGCGCAAGUGACGGUACCUGCAGAAGAAGCACCGGCCAACUACGUGCCAGCAGCCGCGGUAAUACGUAGGGUGCAAGCGUUGUCCGGAAUUAUUGGGCGUAAAGAGCUCGUAGGCGGUUCGUCGCGUCGGCUGUGAAAACCCGGAGCUCAACUCCGGGCCUGCAGUCGAUACGGGCGGACUUGAGUGUUGCAGGGGAGACUGGAAUUCCUGGUGUAGCGGUGAAAUGCGCAGAUAUCAGGAGGAACACCGGUGGCGAAGGCGGGUCUCUGGGCAACUACUGACGCUGAGGAGCGAAAGCGUGGGGAGCGAACAGG